CCUACGGGUGGCAGCAGUGAGGAAUAUUGGUCAAUGGACGAGAGUCUGAACCAGCCAAGUAGCGUGAAGGAUGACUGCCCUAUGGGUUGUAAACUUCUUUUAUAAAGGAAUAAAACGAGGCACGUGUGCCUUUUUGCAUGUACUUUAUGAAUAAGGAUCGGCUAACUCCGUGCCAGCAGCCGCGGUAAUACGGAGGAUCCGAGCGUUAUCCGGAUUUAUUGGGUUUAAAGGGAGCGUAGAUGGGUUGUUAAGUCAGUUGUGAAAGUUUGCGGCUCAACCGUAAAAUUGCAAUUGAUACUGGCAGUCGUGAGUACAGUUGAGGUAGGCGGAGUUCGUGGUGUAGCGGUGAAAUGCUUAGAUAUCACGAAGAACCCCGAUUGCGAAGGCAGCUUACUAAACUGUGACUGACAUUGAUGCUCGAAAGUGUGGGUAUCAAACAGGAUUAGAUACCCUUGUAGUC
rnacentral:rRNA from 1 species